CACGGCUUGCAAUUAGCCGUGUUUUUAUUUAUUCGACUAUCUGUUUCUUAUUGCGCCGCGCGCCACCGGAAAGAAAAUCGGAUAUGAGAGGAGGGAGGGGGGAGGGGAAGGCUCUCCUCUUUCAUUUUUCAAAGGAACGCGAGAACCUGCACGCUCGAGAAGUUUUUUUUUCUUUUUCUUUUUUUUUAUUUCAUUCUUCUCUCUAUCUCAGAUUCUUCGAUUGCUUUGUCUACGAUACGGGGAUAAAGAUUCGCUCGGUAGCAUAACGUCGAUUAAUCGAAAAUAAAAUAUUGGGACAAUUGCUUCUUUCGAGAUUUAAUACAGAAAAGAAACUCGUGAUAAAAUAUUCUAUAGAUCAGUCUGUAGAGUUCGAAUAAGAAAUUGCGUUAUAUAAAUUGCAUUGGAAGAAUGGUCGGGUUUCAAUAAUAAACAUUUAAGGAUUGAUUUCAAGGGAUCUUCUGUCAAAAAAGGAAUCGUUCUACGUAUAAAUUGUUACGUUUUAACUGAAUACGAAAAUCAGAAUUUAGGUGAAUUUCCUUUAUAAGAUAAUAGGAAUAAAAAAUUUAUCGAUUUAUCAUUUGUGGAUGAAAAUAAUAUAAAUAAUGGAACGGAUUCGAGGCGAUUUCCGCCCGAUCGAAGAGAAUGAGAAUUUUAUGCAUAACGGUGCGCCUACCUUCGUUGGAUCCUCGAUGAAACUGCCAAUGGUUAUCACGUGUAGAAUGAUCUCACGUGUGUUCUCCAAUUCCUCGAGAGCGCUGUAGAGGCCCUCGCUGACGAAAUAAGGCUCGGGGCACGUGAGUCUGCAAGAGAUUAGCAAAUUAGAUAAUGAACAGGAAUGCAUGGGUCGAUGAUGAAACUAUAGCUAAACUCUUCUCUCUAGAAGCCGGAAUGUACGUAAGUACGUACUUUGGGAUUCAAAGUUUGAAUUAACUUAACUAAGCUGGCGUUGUGCAAUGUGAUCGUUAAUCAUCCCGAUCAGUUUAACACUUGUGAGUUUUUAAUAGUAUUUUUAUUUGUAAAAAUUUGUAAAAGAAAAAGUUAUUCCGUCGUGGUGAAGAAUUCUGUGGACAGAAAAAAGGAAUCAAGCCUUCUAUGCAAAGCAUCCCGAGAGAAAGAAAAAAGGAUUUACGCUUUCGUCGAAAGCAGUGGAAAGCACGAUUAGAAAUUGAACGUGUUGGCAAGAUGGGAACAAUUAGCAAGCGACGAAAGGGGAUCCAAGAUGGACGCGGUUCCGGAGGUGCAUAGUCGUCGAGUGCAUUUUCGAGUGGGUUUCCUGGAAUUAGUCCUCUCCGUCUUAGGUGUGGGACACGGACGUUUCUCCUACGGGCAUACAAGGGCCUGGGCUGCCUACGUGAAACGUAGACGCCAUGAGACAAGGGGUCUACGAAGAGAGGAGCGAGUCGUGCUCAAGGGUGGCUCGGGCUACGAGAUCCGUGGACGAGGACCCUUCACCAAAGGAGAAUUGCUGCUGUUGCUGCCGCCUGGGGUCCUGUCGUCUGUCGUCUGUCGUCCGGCAUCGACCGAACCCAUGCCGGUAACCCGUUUAUGACCGAUUCAACGUGCUUCUUAUUGUUGCGCGGGUUCACCAUCCAAGAAUAUUUAAACAGGAUGAGCUACGACUGUGUGUGUGCUCUGUUUCAAGAUUUUAAGAUUUCUGCCGAAUUAUUUUGUUUGGUCCUGAUAACAUUUGUUGUUCUUGUUAAGAUUCAUUCAACCAUCUUAACUUGUUUCUAAUCUUUUCAUUAUUUGUUACAUCUUUCGCAAUCCAAUUCUUAUUUAAUUCUCACGAGCAAACGAAAAAGAUAUUAUCGAUCGAAUCUCGUUCCAACUGAAUAAACUUCCAUCGACGAAACAAGUCGCAUCGAAAUUCAACCGAAUCGAUCCUCGACGCCAUCAAGGAUUCAAGGGACAUCUUCGGCCGAUCGACAUAUAGGCACGAUCGCCGUGUUCCGUCGUGACACGGAUUCGAAAUUACGUCGUCCAAGUGAAUUUGCAAAGUUUUUACAAAUCCACGAAAUAACGGGAUCGACAGAAUCGAUCGAUAGGAAUGUUUUACGAAUCAAAUCGUUCAUUAUCCUCCUUCCUUUCAAUCGAGAUCGAAUUCAACACCUUUGAUCCUCCCUAAAAUAAUCCAAGAUCUCCAUUAUUCGGCAUAUUUAUGCUCGCAAUUUUAUCAUUUCUAUCGAAAGAUCGAACGAUGUCGAGAAUUUUCAAAAUACAUUGUUUAUAAUAAAUUAUGAAAUUAUCCUAAAAAAUAAUACUACAAUAUAUAUAUAUAUAUAAACAAAAUCAAUACGUAAUAAUCACUUUCUCCGUCCGAAAUAUCCUCACAAUAGCACAUCGUCGGGCAAAUUUCCGCCAACCUCUGAAAAUACCUUUAAACUCGAGUACUCCCUCGAAACAGUGGUGGGAAGAAAAUCGAGCUGGCCGGUUGUUGUACAAGUUGCCAAGUUGCAGUCGGUGGCUAAGUAAAACAUCAGUUCUAACAAGUAAAGAGGGAGGGAGGGGAGGCCGAUGUCGGGGAUAUAAGCGGGGCCCUUCGCGCUGUCGCUUCCAUUGCAUCGGUGAACAUCGUGAAAGCUGUCAUUGUGCCGUCUCAUCCCGGGCUGGGAUAAAUAUGCGGGCUCGUGUGUAAGGCGGCGGCGUGCGCAUGCGGAUGCACAUGCCCCGGCCAGCUUCUUGGACCGGCGAAUGCACAGCGUCCGAUUUUUUGCCCGAGAAAUACGGUCCCUGCAGUCAGUCACGGCCGUGUAUAUAUCCACGCUCACAGCUGUCCCGCCCGUCCUUUUCAUCCCGCUCAAACAAUAACAACCAUUAUCUGUUUGCUUAUACAACCCCUGGACCAACGUCUCGAAUUAAAUUCUCCCUCCCUCGCUGCGCGGAACGCAGAAGAGGAUCGAAAAGUGGAGAUUUAAGAUUUCCAGAGUUGAAUACGUUGAGUUACCGCACUGUUUGCAGAUAUUUCUUUCUUCAUAAUUGUAAUUGGAAGAUUCGUUGUAAUUUGUGCAGAUUUUGAAGAAUAAAAUAAUAAUAAUUCCUUUUUUCUCCGAUAUCCUCGUCGUAAUGUUAAUCACUUUCCUCUGUUAGAAUCAAUUUUAAUCUGUGGUCAAGUGCAAUUUUUUCUUCCUAGGUUUAGGAGGAAUGUUAAAUAUUAUUGUGUGGGAUAAGAAAUUUCGUAAAGUAUAUUUUAGCAAAGAAUUUGAAUAAAAGUCUCAAUAAAUGUUGAAAGUUUACGAUUUGUGUAAACGGUUUUCAUUUGAAAGGUGAGGAGCUUGGGAAAUGAGAAUCACUGGCGAAACGAGCAACGACCCAUUGGCGAACGCGACGAAAACAUCGGGUUUCCAGCGAGUGGAUUAAUAACCGGAUGGCGCUAGUUCGUUCGAAAUAUUGCCAGAACACCCUUCCCCUGCCCUUCGACCCCCUACGACUCAUUUUUUUAUCACAUCGUGGAUCGUUUGUCUUAAUAAACAUCGUCUCAUUGCGCGUAUCGCUGGCAAAACGCAGGGCCUGCGAAUACGCGAAUCGUUCCACGAAGAAAUCGAAAAUGGGGUUGCCUCGCAAUUUCACGUGUUGUAAUUAUUAUUAAUGGCUUAAAUAUGAAACGUCUCGAAAUCUUACAAAUCUUCUUCUUUCGCUUCGGUAAAAAAUGGACGAUCGUUAUUAAAACUAUUAAAAUUAGCUUAUUAAAAUUAAAAUUAAUUUAUGUUAAAUUCGUAUUUGUUAAAUUUGUCGGGAAAUGGAUUAUUCUUUGAAUGAUCCGAACUUGAAAUUCCUACAAAAUUUCAAUUAAAUUAAUAAUAAUAAGAAAAUGUUAAAUAUUUAAUUAAGGGUAAUAAAGAAUAAAGAAUAAAGUGUCAUUGUUUCUCAUCCAAGGCUCGAAUUCAACGUGACAUCUCUCAAUUUACUGUACAUGUGUCGUCGCAACAGCUUUUAUCCCAAUUUACGUUAUUCCAUUUCAAAAAAAUGGCAAUUGCUACGGGCCCAACAACGACCGCCACUUUAAGCAGACGACUAAUUAUUGCAAGCCUCUUAACCACUCCAGGUCAUCGAUCUUCCCAUUUCUCCUCGAGCCGUUAUUCUACCGAUUAACCAUUUAAACCACCAGUAUCCUUUUUUUUCUUUACAAAUCCUUGAAAUAAAAAUGAUGUAAAUUAAUAAUUCACAAUUUUUUUUCACAAACAGAUAAUAAAAAAAUUAACUUACCAAACUUCUUUUCGUUUACAUAUCAAUUCAAUUCAAGUUCAAUGGGAGUAUUUAAUUCUUUAAUUUUUUCACUUACCAACGGAAUAAUAAACUUACUACGAGUACUAAGUUUCAUUACAUAUCCUCCUUUUUCACCGGAUCUACAAUUUUUCAUCAAAAAUGCCCUAAAUACCCAAGCAAUAAUCCCCUAUAAUUUCCGGGGCCAACCGUACGUCUUCUAACUGUUGAUUACAACGUUCGUUACAACGAGCUUUCUUGCCACCACUCGCGAUCUCGAUCGCUUAAUGGCAGUUUACAGACACGGGUUGGCUUGGUGCGCGAAGAUUCAUGGUCGGUUUUCGAGCGGAUUCGAGCGUCGUUGCACAUGGCCCGGGCUGACGUAAUUUGUCCCGCGCGCAAAAAUUUCGAGUUACGAGUGCGCGAGACGAUGAAGGAACGGGUGAAGGGGUGGGGUGGAAGGAGGAGGAGGAGGAGAAGGAGGGACCCUACAUAACGAGUGCUCUCUAAUGAAUGCUGCUGCACCGUUUUUGUCCCGGGCAAGGUUCCUCGUUGCACGCUUACUGACCGCUUUCAUGGUUACUCGACCGAAUUCCCGAAAAAUUAUAUAUUUCGUGACAACGAAAAAAAAAAACCGGAUAUUCCCUACUUUACUUUAUUUAUAUACCAUUUAUUUCGAGCAUUUUAAAUCCCCAUUUGCAUCAUAUCGAUUUUCGAAAAUUGUUCGUAAUUUUUCUUUGGCAGAGUUGAACAUUGGCCGGGUUUUUAUCGAGAUCGAAGUGAUCCGCGGAGCGGAUUGCGAGACGAAAGCGGGAGGAAAAAUCUGUAACGAAUAAUGAUAAAAACAGCGGUUUCAUUGUAUUUCCACGACGCUCAAUCUUAUUGGAAUUCAAGGUGGUACGCGUCUCCGCGAUAAAUACGAAUGAGCGAUUCAUCGUUGAUGCCCGAGGGCACGCCGGCGAUAUAUCAUAUUUAUUAAUGGAACGCAACGUAAUACGCUUUGCCGAAACACUUUACGAGUUUUCGCCCGAGCUCAGCCUGAAAUUUAAAUUGAAAAUCCCGCGGAUCUGUCCAUAUCGUUAUUUCGAUCGAUAUCGAGCUUUUCUAUUUUUUCUUUUCUUUUUUUCAACUUCGAUUUCUCUGCAAACGAAUAUUAAACAUGAUAUUAAAUUAAGAGAAUUAAAUUGGAGAGAAAAAGAUUGUUCGAUUUAAUUUUCUAAAUGUUACGAUUCAUUGAAAGUGAAUCGCUGUGAUUAUGAAUUUUAAUUAUUAUUGCUAUAAAUAUAAGAUGAGAUAUAUAAACAGGAUACAAAAGGUUACGUGUAAAUGAUGUACAGGAUGAAAUAUGCUAUUUUAAUUUUAAAUAAUCCUGUUAAUUCUUUUGAAGCUGGUUGUCAAGCACCUCUUUACAAAAGAAUAACAAAAGGAUAUACGUUUCUAUUGUAAAUUAAUUCAUGAAAAUUAUGAAUGAAAUGCCAUCUACGUUUACGCAAGAUAAAUAAAAAAUUUGAAUUACGAUAAAUUGGAAUUAAUUUACCAGUAGCAAAUGCAUAUUAAAAAUACAAUACAAGAUGUUACACUUUUCUCCUCGUUUUAUAAUUAAAGAAAGAAACAAGAAAUUGUCCAAGAAAUUGGUAAAUUACAUACAAUAUUAGAUUCUAUAAAGCAUACGUUUAAAGAAUUUAUUCCAAGAUCCAAGGAUAUCCAAAGAAAAUAUAAAAAAUCCAAAGGUGCAAACUCGUUUGGCUGACUCGUACGGUUCGCAAUGAAAUCCGAAAAAAGCAUGGCGUGAUUCGAAAAAAAGGAAUACCCUUUUCCACGUCAUCGAGAAACAACCUGUUACGCGUAACCUCGCCCGCGAAUUUACAGAGGACAAUAAUCGAAGGGAUCGAUGGAAAAUGAGAGGGAAGGGCGGUGGAAGCGCAAAUGAUGUGUUUUAACACCGACGAUCCAUGACUCGUUAUUAAAUCCGAGGACAGUGUGUGUGUGUGUGUGUGUGUCGAGUGUGUACUCGUUCCUCGGACGAAAUACCGGUUCCUGGGAUUACCUCGGGCGAGAAUGUUUCUCGAUACCUUCGCUUCAGUCGAAAAUAUUUAACGGUAACGCCAAAGAACUUCCUCGACGUGGAAUCCUGCAUCGCGUGAAGAGACUUACGUAUUACGCGGAAAAACGAGGGAAGCGGAUUCACGAAUCAUUUCGAAGAUCGGAUAUUUGUAUUUUACGAACGAUCGAAUCUGUCAGAUUCUGUUUAAAUUAAGAUGAGAAUGAUUCUUGAAACAUGAUUGUGUAUAGAUAAUAAAAAUUUCUUUUUUCGAUAUAUAAAUAUAUUAUUAAGGACUAUUUAUACUUCUUACGUAUUAUUAUAAUAUGAUUAUAUUGGAGCUUAAUUUUUUAUAAAAAAAGAAGCUAAUUUUCCCUUGAAUUUAAUAUCACAUUACGUAAUAAAUUUCCCCUAAGUUCCAAUAAAUUUUAUUAUAUUCCGUUGAC